CGUCGACGUACGUCUACGAGAGGUUAGUUAGUACGUAUGGACGUCAGGACGAACGCUGCGGCAUGCCUAACACAUGCAAGUCGAACGGAAGUAGAAAUACUUAGUGGCGAACGGGUGAGUAACACGUGAGCAACCUGCCUUACACACAGGGAUAACAGUUGGAAACGACUGCUAAUACCGGAUAAGACCACACUAUGGCAUCAUAGAGGGGUCAAAGUGAUUUAGCGGUGUAAGAUGGGCUCGCGUCCAAUUAGCUAGUUGGUGAGGUAACGGCCCACCAAGGCGACGAUUGGUAGCCGACUUGAGAGAGUGAUCGGCCACACUGGAACUGAGACACGGUCCAGACUCCUACGGGAGGCAGCAGUGGGGAAUAUUGGGCAAUGGAGGAAACUCUUACCCAGCCAAUGCCGCGUGAGUGAUGAAGGUCUUUGGAUUGUAAAGCUCUUUGAUUGGGGACGAAUAAAUGACGGUACCCAAAGAACAAGCCCCGGCUAACUAUGUGCCAGCAGCCGC
rnacentral:rRNA from 1 species